rnacentral:pre_miRNA from 1 species
UUGAGGGGAAUGCUGUCUGGUUCGAGACCGUUUAUCUGAUAUCUGUCAUGUUUCCAUGGUGAGAACGAUCUCGGACCAGGCUUCAUUCCCCCCAACUCGAA